CCAAUAGCGUAUAUUAAAGUUGUUGCAGUUAAAAAGCUCGUAGUUGAAUUUCGAGAUCAAUUUUCUUGGUCAUACCUUUGUAUGUACUGGUCUUAUUGAUUUCUCCCUUCUGAUGAACCAUGAUGUCAUUAAUUUGGUGUUAUGGGGAAUCAGGUCUAUUACUUUGAAAAAAUUAGAGUGUUUAAAGCAGGCUCACGCUUGAAUACAUUAGCAUGGAAUAAUGAAAUAGGACGUUUGAUUCUAUUUUGUUGGUUUCUAGGAUUGACGUAAUGAUUAAUAGGGAUAGUUGGGGGCAUUAGUAUUCAAUUGUCAGAGGUGAAAUUCUUGGAUUUAUUGAAGACUAACUACUGCGAAAGCAUUUGCCAAAGAUGUUUUCAUUAAUCAAGAACGAAAGUUAGGGGAUCGAAGACGAUCAGAUACCGUCGUAGUCUUAACCAUAAACUAUGCCGACUAGGAAUCGGAUGAUGUUAAUUUUUUAAUGACUCAUUCGGCGCCUUACG
rnacentral:rRNA from 1 species